AGAUUUGGUAUAGUUAUGAAAAGAAUGACCACAUGCAGGAGAUUCUAAAGAGCCCCAUUGCGUUCCCCAGGUGAAACUGUUUGAGCAUCUUUUACCUUCAGGCAAGCAAGCGUCCACGCCCAGUCUGAGUUGCUCCGUGCCAAACAAGCCUGUCACUCUGCAAAGCCUUUUCACCAAGGACUUAGAAAGAGGGUCAUCUGCUGUCUACGCUAUUAUGCAAACCAGGGUGAUGCGGUCCAUCUGCCCCAAAGCUCUGGGAAUUCUGGGAAUGAAGACACAUCAAUUUUUUUUUUAUUGCAUUUGUGCAUUUGGACCACUGUGAACGAGCUAUCUCCAAAGAGCUGUUCUUGGAAACGUUAGGAAGAACGUGUUUCCCUCUUUUCCCCUGAGUGUGUUGUUAAGCUGGCUUUCCGCCUUCCUUCACCUUCUUUGGAAAGCUAUUCUGGGAGCUUCAUUAGGAAGUGUGGUGAGUGGUCUGAAAAUGAAGGGAACCAGAAAACCCC
rnacentral:lncRNA from 1 species